rnacentral:piRNA from 1 species
UAGAUGCUGUUUCCCUUUCGUUGACG